UUGUUAUUAUUUAUUAUGAAUAAAAUGAAAAAAAAGAAAAAAAAACAGCACAACAAUGUUAUUAUUUAUAAUGAAUGAAUGAAAUAAAAUAAAUCGCUUGUAUUCUUCAUUUGUACAUCGCUUUGGAUAAAAGCAACUGCAAAAUGAAUAAAACGUAAUUAAAUAAGUAUUUUCAUUAUGUUCAAUCAAAAUAAUGAACCUCUGAAACAACUUUCCCUUUCAGCUGAUGUCAUCAGUCCCUUCUCCAAUCACGUGACUCCAUUCCAAUAGGUGACGCCCACUUUUCAUGAUCCGGUCAGGUCCUCAUGGAAGAAAAGCCCUGCUCUACAUUGCUGUCAUUGAUUAGCCCGUUUCACUCAGAAAUGUGUCUCGUGAAAGGUAUUUCAGGUUGAAUUGUGAAUCUAAUAAAUGUCUGUACAGGGCUCUGCACAAAGGGCUCAUGAAGGAUGGCAAAUCCUUACACAUGAACGGAUUAUGACUCUUUAAUUGUCUGGAAGUGAGCAGCGGAGUUUGGUUUUUCCAAAUGAAACACUGCUUGUUUUCACGUCUCAUUCUCCAGUAUCUCUUCAGACUCGCUCAAGGAGAUGAUUUUGUAUUGGUGCUGUUUGAAUGUGUUUACAGUCCUGUUCUUGAUUUACGGUAUCAGCGGGUUCAACCUGCUCCUUACACUUCACUCUGCCCUCGAAUCAAAGGAACAGUUCACUCAAAAAUGAAAAAGAAAAUCCUUUAUACACCCACAUCUCCUUCAAAACCUGUUUUCUUUAGUGUGCCAAAAGUCACUGGGUUUGGGCCGAGGACUAAAAACAAGACUAGAAAACUAACAGAAGCUCUAAAUGAAGGUCACUGAGAAGAGCAUUAAGCUGCAGAAUCUAGCAGCAGCAGUCUGAGCCUGAAGUGUGUGUUUGUUUGGGAUGAUGACUGAUGCUGUAGUCAGUUCACCCGCACAGCUGUCCGCCUGCCUGCUGCGCUUCAUCUAUUCCCGCUCGGUCUGAGCUGGGCUGGUUGCCAUGGCGAUGACCCUGUCAUCACGUCCCUUCACCUGGGUAAACUAGUGAGUCAGGAGCAGCUCCGCUGGGGAGCGAGAGACAAAAGACAGCAUAUGGAGCCGCUCCUCCGACAACUACAGCAGAAAUCACACGGGCAGAGAGAGAGAGAGAGAGAGAGAGAGAGAGAUAUGGAUGGAUAGAGAUAUAGACUGAUGGAUGGAUGGAUAAAAAGUUGGGUAGAUAGAUUGAUGUAUAUACAGUAUGUAUGGAUGGAUGAAUGGACAGAUAGAUUGAUGUAGAAAUUGAUGGAUGGAUAUAUAGAUUGAUAGAUGGACAGAUGAUAGAUAGAUCGAUAUGGAGGGAUGGAUGAAUGGAUGGAUAAAUAGUUGUAUAGAUAGAUUGAUAUGGAGAUGGAUGGAAGGAUUGAUAAAUAGUUGGGUAGAUAGGUUUAUAUAGAGAUGUAUGGAUGGAUAAAUAGAUGGGUAGAUAGAUUGAUAGAGAGAUGGAUGGAUAGAUAGAGAUAUAGUUGGAGAGAUAGACUGAUAUAACGAUGGAUGGAUGGAUGGAUUGAUGGAUGGAUGGAUGAAUGGACAGAUAGAUUGAUGUAUAUACAGUAUGUAUGGAUGGAUAAAUAAUUGGAUAGAUUAAUGUAUGUAUUGAUGUAUGGAUGGAUGAAUGGAUGGAUAAAUAGCUGGGUAGAUAGAUUGAUGUGGAUAUAGAUGGAUGGAUGUAUAAAUGCAUAGAUAGAUGGAUAGACAGAUUGAUGUAGAGAUGGAUGGAUAGAGAUAUAGACUGAUGGAUGGAUGGAUGAAAGGAUGGAUAAAUAGUUAGGUAGAUAGAUUGAUGUGGAUAUAGAUGGAU
ensembl:lncRNA